AUUGUAUCACACAUGCAUGCAUUCAUACCCCUGGCCACUGGCUCAUUGGGUCCAAGAAAGACGAUACUUUUGGCAUUGGAGACUGAAACAGCUCUCUUUCAUUAUCAAAUACCAAAAUUGCCCCAAAAAACAAUGAGGUGGAUUGAUUUUUGUCUUGGAGGGUUGAAGUUUUGGUGAAAAUUCCUGCAUCACAUCUAGAAGCAGACGUUUUGGCAUGAUGGAUUGUUGGUUGGAUUUUUUUGUAUUUGAGUUUUCCACCUUGUUGAAAACUGGGUAUAUACGGUGAAACUAAUUAAAUGAAAGGUUUAUAGCUAGAUUGAGACAAUGAAACAACCUUGAAUUUAAGUUUUCAUACUUACUAGCUUUUGAAAGUGGGAAUGAAUUUGGAUAAUGUUUUAAAUUCCUUGCAUGUCUUCGGGGAUUUGAAGUGUUUAAUUCAGAUUGAUAUAUGAUAUAUAAUGUUAUGACAUAUACCAUCCUAUAAUAUAUAAUGUUAUAGUGCAUUAUGUUUCUCUUUCA